rnacentral:lncRNA from 1 species
GAAACCGAGGGAAGACACACUACCAGGGAGCUGUACUCGAGCCUAGUGUUGUCAUGCAUCAUUGCCCUAAGUUCAGGUUUCUACCUACUUGCACAACUGCAAGCUAAUCCUAUCCAGGGAGAAAGCAAGCAUACAAGCAUACAAGCAUCAACAGAUCAAAACAAGCAUUUCAAGCAAGUAUUCACAUAGCACACACUAUAGCCAAUCAAGUGGGCUCAAACAAUGGGUUUGACUGCCGAAGCAAG